ACGCUCGACACCUACGGGAGGUAGCAGUGGGGAAUAUUGCACAAUGGAGGAAACUCUGAUGCAGCGAUGCCGCGUGAGGGAAGAAGGUUUUCGGAUUGUAAACCUCUGUCUUUGGGGACGAUAAUGACGGUACCCAAGGAGGAAGCUCCGGCUAACUACGUGCCUGCAGCCGCGGUAAUCUGAGCGGGCUGGCAAGGC
rnacentral:rRNA from 1 species